rnacentral:rRNA from 1 species
UACAGAGGUCUCAAGCGUUGUUCGGAUUCAUUGGGCGUAAAGGGUGUGUAGGUGGCGCCGUAAGUCGGGUGUGAAAUUUCGGAGCUUAACUCCGAAACUGCAUUCGAUACUGCGGUGCUUGAGGACUGGAGAGGAGACUGGAAUUCAUGGUGUAGCAGUGAAAUGCGUAGAGAUCAUGAGGAAGACCAGUGGCGAAGGCGGGUCUCCUGGACAGUUCCUGACACUGAGACACGAAGGCCAGGGGAGCAAACGGG